CCGAACGCAGCCGAUAAUGCAGUCGAGCGAAGGAUAAGAGCUUGCUCUUAUGAAGUUAGCGGCGGACGGGUGAGUAACACGUGGGUAACCUGCCCAUAAGACUGGGAUAACUCCGGGAAACCGGGGCUAAUACCGGAUAACAUUUUGAACCGCAUGGUUCGAAAUUGAAAGGCGGCUUCGGCUGUCACUUAUGGAUGGACCCGCGUCGCAUUAGCUAGUUGGUGAGGUAACGGCUCACCAAGGCAACGAUGCGUAGCCGACCUGAGAGGGUGAUCGGCCACACUGGGACUGAGACACGGCCCAGACUCCUACGGGAGGCAGCAGUAGGGAAUCUUCCGCAAUGGACGAAAGUCUGACGGAGCAACGCCGCGUGAGUGAUGAAGGCUUUCGGGUCGUAAAACUCUGUUGUUAGGGAAGAACAAGUGCUAGUUGAAUAAGUAGUUGGCCAGCGUUAUCCGGGAAUAAUGGGCGUAAAGCGCGCGCAGGUUGUUUCUUAAGUUUGAAGUGAAAGCCCCCGGCUCAACCGUGGAGGGUCAUUGGAAACUGGGAGACUUGAGUGCAGAAGAGGAAAGUUGAAUUCCAUGUGUAGCGGUGAAAUGCGUAGAGAUAUGGAGGAACCCCAGUGGCGAAGGCGACUUUUUGGUUUGUAACUGACAAUGAGGCGGGAAAGCGUGGGGAGCAAACCGGAUUAGAUACCCUGGUAGUUCCCGCCGUAAACGAUGAGUGCUAAGUGUUAGAGGGUUUCCGCCCUUUAGUGGUGAAGUUAACGCCUUAAGCCCUCCGCCUGGGGAGUACGGCCGCAAGGCUGAAACUCAAAGGAAUUGGCGGGGGCCCGCACCAGCGGUGGAGCAUGUGGUUUAAUUUGAAGCAACGGGAAGAACCUUACCAGGUUUUGACAUCCUUUGACAACCCUAGAGAUAGGGCUUUUCCUUCGGGAGCAGAGUGACAGGUGGUGCAUGGUUGUUGUCAGCUCGUGUCGUGAGAUGUUGGGUUAAGUCCCGCAACGAGCGCAACCCUUGAUUUUAGUUGCCAUCAUUUAGUUGGGCCCUUUAAGGUGACUGCCGGUGACAAACCGGAGGAAGGUGGGGAAGACGUCAAAUCAUCAUGCCCCUUAUGACCUGGGCUACACACGUGGUACAAUGGGCGGUACAAAGAGCUGCAAGGCCGCGAGGUGGAGCUAAUUUCAUAAAACCGUUUUCAGUUUGGAUUGUAGGCUGCAACUUGCCUACAUGAAGCUGGAAUCGCUAGUAAUCGCGGAUCAGCAUGCCGCGGUGAAUACGUUCCCGGGCCUUGUCACACCGCCCGUCACACCCCGAGAGUUUGUACACCCGAAGUCGGUGGGGUACCUUUUGACCCGCCGCUUUAGUGUCUUG
rnacentral:rRNA from 1 species